UACGUAGGGUGCGAGCGUUAAUCGGAAUUACUGGGCGUAAAGCGUGCGCAGGCGGUUUUGUAAGUCAGAUGUGAAAAUCCCCCGGGCUUAACCUGGGACUGCGUUUGAAACUACAAGGCUAGAGUGUGGCAGAGGGGGGGUGGAAUUCCACGUGUAGCAGUGAAAUGCGUAGAUAUGCGGAGGAACACCGAUGGCGAAGGCAGCCCCCUGGGCCAACACUGACGCUCAGGCACGAAAGCGUGGGGAGCAAACAGG
rnacentral:rRNA from 1 species